rnacentral:rRNA from 1 species
GAUGAACGCUGGCGGCGUGCCUAAUACAUGCAAGUCGAGCGAACAGACGAGGAGCUUGCUCCUUUGACGUUAGCGGCGGACGGGUGAGUAACACGUGGGUAACCUACCUAUAAGACUGGGAUAACUUCGGGAAACCGGAGCUAAUACCGGAUAAUAUUUCGAACCGCAUGGUUCGAUAGUGAAAGAUGGCUCUGCUAUCACUUAUAGAUGGACCUGCGCCGUAUUAGCUAGUUGGUAAGGUAACGGCUUACCAAGGCAACGAUACGUAGCCGACCUGAGAGGGUGAUCGGCCACACUGGAACGGAGACACGGUCCAGACUCCUACGGGAGGCAGCAGUAGGGAAUCUUCCGCAAAGGGCGAAAGCCUGACGGAGCAACGCCGCGUGAGUGAUGAAGGUCUUCGGAUCGUAAAACUCUGUUAUUAGGGAAGAACAAACGUGUAAGUAACUGUGCACGUCUUGACGGUACCUAAUCAGAAAGCCACGGCUAACUACGUG